rnacentral:rRNA from 1 species
UACGUAGGGACCAAGCGUUGUUCGGAUUUACUGGGCGUAAAGGGCGCGUAGGCGGCGUGUUAAGUCACUUGUGAAAUCUCUAAGCUUAACUUAGAACGGUCAAGUGAUACUGAUGUGCUAGAGUGCAGAAGGGGCAACCGGAAUUCUUGGUGUAGCGGUGAAAUGCGUAGAUAUCAAGAGGAACACCUGAGGUGAAGACGGGUUGCUGGACUGACACUGACGCUGAGGCGCGAAAGCUAGGGUAGCAAACGGG